rnacentral:rRNA from 1 species
UACAGAGGGGGCAAGCGUUGUUCGGAAUUACUGGGCGUAAAGGGCGCGUAGGCGGCCUUCUAAGUCGAACGUGAAAUCCCCGGGCUCAACCUGGGAACUGCAUUUGUGACUGCAUGGCUGGAGUGUGGCAGAGGGGGAUGGAAUUCCGCGUGUAGCAGUGAAAUGCGUAGAUAUGCGGAGGAACACCGAUGGCGAAGGCAAUCCCCUGGGCCUGCACUGACGCUCCAUGCACGAAAGCGUGGGGAGCAAACAGG